GUUUGAGUGGGCGAGUCAAAUCAGCCUGUUAGGCAGGUAGAUAAACACCUUAGUUUGAGUGGGCAUGGCAAAUCAACCCGUUAAGCAGGUGAAUAAAUGCUUUAAUUAAGGCGGGCGAAUUAAAUCAAUCCAAUGGACAGGCAGAUAAACACUUUAGUUUAGGAGGGCAAGUCAAAUCAGCAUGUUAAGCAAGCGGACAAAUGCCUUAAUUUGAGUGGGUGAGUCAAAUCAGCCCAUUAGACAGGCGGGUAAACAUCUUAGUUUCU
rnacentral:misc_RNA from 1 species